GAAUUUUACUCUUCUAUUGUAUACAAAUAAUUAAUAUUUUGCUAAAAUAUUUUUAAUUAGUAUUUUCAAUUUUAUAUUGUAAUCUGGUGUUCAUUAUAAUAUUAAUUUUUUGUUUUAGUGGCUGUUGUUGUUUCCUGUUUAAAUUAUUUCUUUGAGGAAAAAAUGGAAUGCUGCCAAUAGGAGAAGAGAACUUAGCUUUUAUAAAAUUUACUGAAUUUUAUUAUUUAUUGCUGACAUUUUAUGAUUUUUUUUCACUAAAGAUAGUUUAGGAUUUUAAUUGAAGUGUAUCUUUUGUUAGGUUAGGGUUGGGUGUCCUUACUACAUGUAGUUUCUCAUUUCUGUGCCAGUAGUUCUGACAUUUUCUAGUUGUCAUGUUUUCUUGUGGAAAUAUGACAUAAUGCAUGUAAUGGCUGCAUAGUUCUGUUUUAUCUUGGUCAGACAAAGAAGCAAAAUAUGAAUUGGCAGAAAUACUUUGAUGAUUAUGCAGUGAUAAAGUUUUCUUUUUAUUAGCAGAUCAUGCAGCAAAAGAGCCAGUGGAGGAUACGGAUCCAAGUACUCUUUCUUUAACAAUGACUGAAAAAUAUCCUGUCCAAGACACAGGAGUUCCUAAAGGUAACUAUUGUGAAUUCUCUAUUCAGAUAUCAUUGGUCUCUUUUGCUAUCUGUAAUAAAACCAGUGGUGUUACCCGACAGAUUGAAAUAUUCCUACUUUUUGCUAGAUGCUUAUAUUUAAAUGUAAUGCCCUCUUUAUUUUUAAGGUCAAUUUCAUAUGUGUAUAUCUAACUUUCGAAAUUUCCUUCCCAGGUUUAAUUUUGGUCUAAAAGUCACUCUAAAACUAUCAUCAGAGGACCUGGUUUCUCAAUCUGAAAGGAAAAUACAGUGGUGCCAUUGAUAGACAGGGUUCAGACAAGAGAUGGUAGGGACAUCAUAAUGUUAGAUGAUGACUUUGAAGGGACCACCAGUGCCUUCAUGUUGUUAGAAAUACAAUCAAGGAAUACCUUUUCAGGUCUUUUGUCUCUGACAGCAUUCCCAGCCUCAUAACCAGACAACUCUUCGUGCCAUCUUGUACCUUCAGCAGGUGUUAAUGCCAUCUACUGGAGAACCUACUGUUAGGUCCUCUCUACACAAGUUCCUGCCUCUCCUUGCUGAAAAUUGAGUGAGGGAGUGCAGGUUCUGAAGAAAAAUACAUGGAUUACACAGUGUGACUAUCCUCCUUAUGUUUCCUUGAUGUGUGGGGUGGGUUUUUUGUUGUCAUCCCAGGCUUCGCCAUUGACUUUUGUCCAGGGAAUGCACUGGCAGGGGCUUGGUUGAGGAGCACUCUGCAGGUAGUGUGUCCUCCAUCCAGUGUUGUACUGCAGGUCUGCAGUGGGACAGACACAGGAAAACAGGCUUGUCACAAUGGAAACUUCUACUGAGGAGUAGGAGCAGUAUACCACUGGGGAUAAAGAAAAGUUGGAG
rnacentral:lncRNA from 1 species